UACGUAGGUGGCGAGCGUUAUCCGGAUUUACUGGGUGUAAAGGGUGUGUAGGCGGGAUGGCAAGUCAGAUGUGAAAAUUACGGGCUUAACUCGUAACCUGCAUUUGAAACUGCUGUUCUUGAGUGUCGGAGAGGUAGAUGGAAUUCCCAGUGUAGCGGUGAAAUGCGUAGAUAUUGGGAGGAACACCAGUGGCGAAGGCGGUCUACUGGACGAUUACUGACGCUGAGACACGAAAGUGUGGGGAG
rnacentral:rRNA from 1 species